rfam:Astyanax mexicanus chromosome 17, whole genome shotgun sequence.
GCUUACGGUCACACUACCCUGAGAACGCCGAUCUCGUCUGAUCUCGAAGCUAAGCAGGUUUGGCCUGGUUAGUACUUGGAUGGGAGACCACCUGGAAUACCAGGUGCUGUAAGCU